rnacentral:lncRNA from 1 species
CUAAUUCACAAGCAUGUUGUAGGUGUGUUUGAUUUGCCAAUUUUAUUUCAAUCAAUUACUCAGUUCAUUUAUAAAUCCAGUUAUGUGUAUGUAUAAGGUUAAUGACCCCUUCUGUAGCCUUUGAAUUACGAAUGUUUCAAACUGCAAUAAUAUAAAAACAGCAAAGAUAAUGAAUAAUAGAGAUGGGCCAUUUUGUACAUUUACAAUGAGGAAACUUCGAUCAAGCAUUAUUAUUUG